rnacentral:lncRNA from 1 species
CCGAGAGGGGAGGCAGAGCCCUGGCCUGGCUCUGUGAGGAUGAUGACGACAGCCUUUGAUGUGAUCCACACCCCCACCGUGGGUAGGAUUUUCCUGUUUCUGCUCUCCACUGCCCAGUGUGGGCUGGAAGGCAGGUUUCCCUCCUGUUCAUGUUUUUGGAAUCAAGAAAACAACAAACUCACCUCUUCCAGCCAAAACCCAGCUCUGCGAAAUCACAUCCGUAGUAGGGGAAGGUAAGUUUCAAAAACACAGGGCUGGAAUACUGAGAGAUGCCCAGUUUUCUGCUCCCACCCCUACCCUGCACGUAGGACAGGGCUCCAGGCUGCUGUUCACUACCCUCUUUGGGGCAUGUCUCCCGUGGCCUGGGGCACAGCCAUGCCACUUGUGUCAGAUCCAGAAUGCUGCUGUGUCUGGGCUGGGAGCGCUGCCAGGGUUCAGCGUUUUUAUUGACAGCAGCUUCCAAAAGAAGCCAGUAUCUCGUGGUGUCCUCCCACGGGGAAGGGCAAGUCAGUCUGCAGGCAGAGGUGCUGCAGUAGCAGUACGACAGUGGGCAGAUGGGGCUUGCUGGCAGGGGCAGAGCACGGCCCUGCAGGGAGUGGUGUGGGGCAUCGUGGGGCUUGUGGCAAUACUGGGGAAAGAAAAGGGGAAUGUGUCUACAACAGUGGUUUUUCUUUAA